CCUACGGGAGGCAGCAGUGAGGAAUAUUGGUCAAUGGGCGAGAGCCUGAACCAGCCAAGUCGCGUGAAGGAUGACGGCCCUAUGGAUUGUAAACCUCUUUUGUCAGGGAGCAAAGGGCGCCACGUGUGGCGUUUUGCGAGUACCUGAAGAAAAAGCAUCGGCUAACUCCGUGCCAGCAGCCGCGGUAAUACGGAGGAUGCGAGCGUUUUCCGGAUUUAUUGGGUUUAAAGGGGGCGCAGGCGGAAUGUCAAGUCAGCGGUAAAAUUUCGGGGCUCAACCCCGUCGUGCCGUUGAAACUGGCGUUCUUGAGUGAGCGAGAAGUAUGCGGAAUGCGUGGUGUAGCGGUGAAAUGCAUAGAUAUCACGCAGAACUCCGAUUGCGAAGGCAGCAUACCGGCGCUCAACUGACGCUCAUGCACGAAAGCGUGGGUAUCGAACAGGAUUAGAUACCCGUGUAGUC
rnacentral:rRNA from 1 species